rnacentral:rRNA from 1 species
CCUACGGGAGACAGCAGUGAGGAAUAUUUGUCAAUGGGCGCGAGCCUGAACCCGCCAAGUAGCGUGAAGGAUUACUGCCCUACGGGUUGUAAACUUCUUUUAUAAAGGAAUAAAGUGAGGCCCGUGUGCCUUUUUGUAUGUUCUUUAUGACUAAGGAUCGGCUAACUCCGUGCCAGCAGCCGCGGUAAUACGGAGGAUCCGAGCGUUAUCCGGAUUUAUUGGGUUUAAAGGAAGCGUAGAUGGGUUGUUAAGUCAGUUGUGAAAGUUUGCGGCUCAACCGUAAAAUUGCAAUUGAUACUGGCAGCCUUGAGUACAGUAGAGGUAGGCGGAAUUCGUGGUGUAGCGGUGAAAUGCUUAGAUAUCACGAAGAACUCCGAUUGCGAAGGCAGCCUACUAAACUGCCACUGACAUUGAUGCUCGAAAGUGUGGGUAUCAAACAGGAUUAGAUACCCCUGUAGUC